UGCAUCGGCUGGGAAUCGAACCCGGGCCCCCCGCGUGGCAGGCGAGUAUUCUACCACUGAACCACCGAUGC
rnacentral:tRNA from 1 species